CGGAGAUGGGCUGGGUUAGACGGGGCAGGGCAAACGCCGACCCCGGCGUCCCGAGGGCUUCCCCCGUCCCGCCGGGGCAGGCGCCUCACCUGGUGCUCCUCCAGCUCCUCCACCAGUACCUAGGGACAGAAGGACACACAGACACACACAAAGGACGUGAGUCCACGGACCGCAGCGCAGCGGCUCCGCCGCCCCGUCCCGUCCGGUCCCGUCCCGUCCCGUCGCCGCCCGCCCGGCCCGGCCGGAGCGCCGGCUCCGCGCUCACCUGGGCGGAUUUCUUGCAGGGUCCGGACUGCAGGAACCGUGCGAUCAGCUUCCUGAAUUCUUGCCCUGUUACCAGAUGCUGAUGCAGAUGUAAGAAAUAUUUUAAUUUCUCUCAGCAAUGAAAUGAAACAGAACAUGACCAGACCUCCAGAAGAAGGAAAAAGGUGUUUGCUGGAGGGCAGGAAAACCCUGGAGCUGCUGAUAACUACAAGUCAUUCUGAUGAAAACAGAAAAAGUGGGUUAAAAGGAAUCAUGAAAAAAUACUCCAAAACAACUGUGGAGGAGGGAAGAGGAGUUUCUGCUCUGACCCUGGAGAUGAAAGAAUAAAGGACCCCUGGCUGGAUGGCGACACUCAACCCAUGAAGAGACACCACUGUCAGUGACAGAACACAAGGGGCAAAGAGAGCCCUGAGAAAACACUGCUCCUCUAUCAGCAAGGAAUCUGCUGGGACAAUCCCUCAGCAGCUGAUGGAGCCUGCAGCUGGACCUAGCAAAAGGCAGCUGAAGUAAGGAGCUGCCACAGCGAGGACCUGUGGGAAGAGGCUGCAGAUAAGAGACAAGAUCGAGUCUACUUUUCAAAUCUCUUGUUCAAUUGUUCUGAGCCAAAUAAUUGUUUUAAAGAAUUGUGUAGAAGUCAAAACCAGAUUUCUGGCCCAGCACCAACCCGUGCUGAGCCGCAGAGGAACCCAGCAGUCCAGAGGGGAUGUGCAAAGUCAGCUCAGGGCUGGAGGGUGGUGAUGUCCCUGGGUAAUGUCUCCACUGUUCCCCAAAUCUUGGGCAUUGCUGUGAGCCAGCCCCGAGAGGGACCAGGGCCAGCAGACAGCACCUGGGGAAGGGCUCCAGCACAGGGCAGGAAGGAGCUGCAAGGACAAGGCCGUUCCUGCAGGCUGUCCCUGGGAGCUGCCCUGGGCAGGUACCACAGCUGCUCUGUCCUCACAGAGUGGCAGUGACCCCCCACCCUCUGGAGCCCAGCAGAGCUCCUGCAGCUGUGCUUCCAGCACAUCUGGCUCUGUUCCCAGCUUAGU